CCGAGUGCAGCCCUAAAAAGACCGAAAAAAAAAAGAAGACAUCAAGUCAUAAUAUUGGGCUGAACAGAGAAAGACACCACCAACAAAAGGUGGGGUUCUGGAGAGCAGACUCCGAGUAGGCACAUUUCAGACAGCACGUGAAAAGCGAUUUAGAGCAGAGUCCUUUCAAGACACUUGGCAGAUAGCACCUCGUCCCUCUAGGACCACAGGUAAAGAGGAUGCAUGUUUGAAAAUAAACAAAAGGUGAAUGAAAUCAGUAAAAUCCCUAGACCCAGCACCCCCAGAAGUCCGAAGGUUUACUCUGGAGAGCAUGAUAGAGGGGGUCUUUGCUCAGAGAGUCAACUAGCACAGUUGAGAGUAAGAGUAAUAAACCAAAACCAAGGAGAUGAAGUUAUUUUAAAGGCUGAUGCUGCCUCCCCGUCCCCACCCCCACUGGGCUCCUAGAUCACCGGCUCGGCCGACCUUUACCUCCUUCUCUGGGGAAGCUCAUCAUUGCAAGAGCAAAGGCCUGAGGAUACAGAUACUGACACCAGAACCCCAAUGGUGUCCAAGCAGCUUGUUUAGGUCAACCAAUGUGGGAUUUGCAACUCAACCAGCCCCGCCAUCACGUUCAGAGCUUCCAGUUAGCUCUUCAGUUCCCUGGUUUGUUUUUGUUCUUUGGGGGGGGGUUUGUUUUUGUCUUUUCCAGGGCUACACUCUUGGCAUAUGGAAGUUCCCAAGCUAGGGGGCCACAGCAACGCCAGAUCCGAGCCAUGUCUUCGACCUACACCACAGCUCACGGCAACGCCGGAUCCUUAACCCACGGAGCAAGGCCAGGGAUCGAACCCGAAACCUCAUGGUUCCUAGUCGGAUCUGUUAACCACUGAGCCACGAAGGGAACUCCUUCGGUUCCCUGUUCUUAAUCCUGAAAGGACAACCAAGGACUACUAGACAUCUGGGGAAGCCUCUAACUCGGAAGAUAAAAAUCAGAACAAAUCCACCAAAACCAAACACAAUUUGCAGGAAACAGACUUUAUGCAGAGAAGAUACUACAUUCAUGAAACAAGAAUGUGAUGUUAUUUUAAAAAAAGAGCAUUCAGAGCACAAAAAGGAAUUUGUAGAAAUAAAAAUCAUGCUAGUUGAAAUAUAAAAGUCAACAGAAGUGGUAUAUUAAAAAGGAAAAAAAAUAAGAGUUCCCUGAUGGUGCAGUGGGUUAAGGACCUAGCAUUACCGCUGCUGUGGCUUGGGUUCAACCCCUGGUCUGGGAACUUCCAUAGCCAAAAAAGAAAGAAAGAAAAAAAUAAGAAAAGAGAAUUGGUCCAGAAGUUUUCAUAUCUGAAAAAGAAAGAAAGAAAGAAAGAAAGAAAGAAAGAAAGAAAGAAAGAAAGAAAGAAAGGAAGGAAGGAAGGAAGGAAGGAAGGAAGGAAGGAAGAAAGAAAGGAAGAAAGAAACAACAAGAGGGGAGAAAGUUACCAAUGAAAUAAUCCAAGAGAAUGUCCUGGAACUGAAAGACAUGAGUUGCCUAAUUGAAAAGGCCCAGUGACUAUCCCACACAACAGACGAAACAGACCCACACCAAGACACAUCACUGCAAAACUUCAGGACCCCGAGACAAAGAGAAGACCCUACAAGUUUCUAGAGGGAGAAGAAGUGACAUAAAAUUUCAGGAAUCAGGAUGGCUUCAGACUGAUCAGUGUUCGUACCGAAAGCAAGAAGACAAAGGACUGGUACCCCUGAAAAGUUUAAAAUGAUUCUCCAAUUAGAAUUCUCUACCCAGACUAAUUACCAUUUAAGUGUGAAAGGAGAAUAAAGAUAUUUGCAGACACUCCUUCCUCGAGAAGUGGGAAGAUGUCCUCGAAGAUGCAGGAGGCCCGGGACCAGGUCUACGCGGUGGGCCCGAGACUCAGCCUGCUCUCUACCCUCUACCACUGAACCGUCUUUUUUCUUUUCUUUUUGCUUUUUAGCUGCCCCUGUGGCAUAUGGAGGUUCCCAGGCUAGCAGAUGAAUCGGAGCUGCCUGCCUACACCACAGCCAGCCACAUCCACACCAGAUCCAAGCCGCAUCUGGGCCCUAUGCUACAGCUCAUGACAAUACCGGAUCCUUAACCCACAGAGCGGGGCCAGGGAUUGAACCCGCAUCCUCAUGGAUGCUAGUUGGAUUCAUUUUCACUGAGCCACAAUGGAACCUCCUGAACCGUCUUUUCAACCUGACCAAACUACAGGUGUCACUCACUGAACUAAGUCUGUGGUCUGAACCUGUGGACUAAAUGGAUCUGGAUGAAGACGGAGGGCUUCCCGGGCUAUGUGCUCCCGACGGGGGAGUGGACUGAGCAGGGAGAGGAAGUCAGCUCCGGGGAACAGGGAUUCCAACCAGAAGGAGGGCAGAAGGAUGCCACGGACAACCACAAAGCGAAGUCCCAGAAUGGCAGCCACACAAAACGUGCCUCAGGCCCAGAGAGCAAGGGAGUGGAUAACUCAAAAACGGAACGGAACCGUUCGACCUGAUGGGGCUGCCGUUACGAAAGCCACACAGACAGCUGAUCAGAGGGGCGCAGGCAUGAGUGACAAGUAUAAAGAAAAGAAGGCAGAUAAAGAAAUAAGGUAAUGAUUAAUUUCGGGGGGAAGGAAACUAUUGCAGUACCAUAUAAGGCUCGGUUGAGUUCACAAGUUCAUACAUGUAUGUGUAACAUAUGUAUGCAUGUGGACAUAUAUAUGCAUGUAUGUAGCUGUAUGUAUAAAUAUAUAUGUCUAGAGAGAGACUACAUGUGUGUGUGUGUGUGUGUGUGUGUGUAUAAAACAUGGUGUAUUAAUUUCCUAGGCUUCUAUUACAAAUUGCCGCAAAAUUAAUGGCUUAAAAUAACACGGAUUUGUUUCCUGCAGUUCUGGAAGGUAGAAGUCCAAAGUGGGUCUCGUCACUGGGCUGAAAUCAAGGUGCUGGCAGGCUGCAUUCUCUUCCGGACGCCCUGGGGAGAACCCGCUUUCCUGACUUUUUCAGCUUCGAGAGGCUGCCCAUAUCCCUUGGCUCCUGGCCCCCUUGCAUCGUCAAAGCCAGCAAUGGCCCGUCUGUGUUCCUCGGACUCUCCUGCCUCUUUCACUGCCAAGGACCCCUCGCAAUGACAUGGGGACCACUCAGAUGACCCACAGGAAAUCGCCCCAGCUCACAAUCCUUACCGUAGUCACAUCCGCAAAGGCUCUUUUGCCACCUAAGGUAACGCAUUCACAGGUUUAGGCGGUUAGGAUGUGGCUGUCUUUGGGGGGGCCAUCGUCCUGCCUGCUGCAUGUAUACAUGUAUGUAUACUCUUUUUUUUUUUUUUUUUGGCUGUCUUUUUGCCUUUUCUAG
rnacentral:lncRNA from 9 species